rnacentral:rRNA from 1 species
ACUCAAAUGAAUUGACGGGGACCCGCACAAGCGGUGGAACAUGUGGUUUAAUUCGACGGUAAGCGAGGAACCUCACCAAGGCUUGACAUGACACUGCAAAUCUCCUGAAAGGGAGACUCCUUCGAGGGUGUGUCACAGGUGCUGCAUGGUUGUCGUCAGCUCGUGCCGUGAGGUGUACCCUUAAGUGGGGUAACGAGCGCAACCCCUAUGCUGUGUUGUUUUUUCACAGCAGACUGCCUCGGAUAACGGGGAGGAAGGUGGGGAUGACGUCAAAUCAGCAUGGCUCUUACGCCUUGGGCGACACACGUGUUACAAUGGACGGUACAAAGGGCAGCCAAGUCGAAAGACGGAGCAAAUCCCAUCAAAACCGUUCUCAGUUCGGAUCGAGGUCUGCAACUCGACCUCGUGAAGCUGGAAUCGCUAGUAAACGCAUAUCAGCCACGGUGCGUUGAAUACGUUCUCGGGUCUUGUACACACCGCCCGU